rnacentral:rRNA from 1 species
GACGAACGCUGGCGGCGUGCCUAAUACAUGCAAGUCGAGCGAGCGAAACUAACAGAUUUACUUCGGUAAUGACGUUAGGAAAGCGAGCGGCGGAUGGGUGAGUAACACGUGGGGAACCUGCCCCAUAGUCUGGGAUACCACUUGGAAACAGGUGCUAAUACCGGAUAAGAAAGCAGAUCGCAUGAUCAGCUUUUAAAAGGCGGCGUAAGCUGUCGCUAUGGGAUGGCCCCGCGGUGCAUUAGCUAGUUGGUAAGGUAAAGGCUUACCAAGGCGAUGAUGCAUAGCCUAGUUGAGAGGCUGAUCGGCCACAUUGGGACUGAGACACGGCCCAAACUCCUACGGGAGGCAGCAGUAGGGAAUCUUCCACAAUGGACGCAAGUCUGAUGGAGCAACGCCGCGUGAGUGAAGAAGGUUUUCGGAUCUUAAAGCUCUGUUGUUGGUGAAGAAGGAUAGAGGUAGUAACUGGCCUUUAUUUGACGGUAAUCAACCAGAAAGUCACGGCUAACUACGUG